CGCCGCCGCUCGGCGCGGUGCCCGGGGCAGGGAGUUGAUUAUUAACCUGCGGGCCAUUGAAUGCCUGCCUAAAGUCGCGCCCAGGGUGGGGUUUAACCUUGUCCGAGGCUCGGUGCCUCCCGUGUGACUCUGUGCCCGAGACCCUGGGGCGGCCGGUUCUGCUGCCGCCGCCGAAGCGCUGCGGGGAUGCGCAGCUCCCCGUUGAAAAUCUUUGCUCUAAAUCUCAGCCUAGAGCUCGCCUCGCAGUCGUUUCUGGAGGUUUCAGGCUCAAGAGGUCGAGGUGAUGUGGGGGUCUCGGCGAGCGUCUCUGCAGCAGCAGACUCGGGCUGCAGUAGCUCGAGUGUUUGUGGCUGGCGCUUGAAUCCAUGCUGGCCCCUUUUCUUCGAGCUGAGCUGCAAGGAGCUCAGCAGCUGCGGCAUUUAGUUCAAUUACUUCAGAUGAUCUGUGAAUUUUCAAUAAUGGCAAUACAUUCAUUCUGCCAUUUGGAGGAGCCUGUGCCACAGAAUAAUGAUCUGAAGAAAGCUCACUUAUUUGCAAGGAAGAGUCUUCAUUUGGGCAUUAGCACUGAUGCAGCUCAAGGGUGCUUUUUCAAGUCCGGGUCCUUGACAUUCAGUGGGAUGAGAAUCUCAGAACUGACUACUGGGGACUCCCAAGCUACAGAUCAGGUGAUUCUAGUGUCUCAGCUUAAGUUGUCUGGGAGUUACCAUGCAUAGUGUUCCAGGAACAACAAAGAGUUUUUUCCAUUUGUUUUCUCCUUUAAAGAACACUUGGAAACCAUUUUGGUAGGUGUGGGUUGCUUGUCAGAAAUCCGUUCUGAAGCUUGAGUGCAAAGGAAGCAGGGUACUAAUGAUGAAUAAGAAUGGAUAUCUUGAGGAUAACAAUGGAUAUGGCAUCUUCAAAAGCAGUGGCAUUCUGCUGUUCCGGGGCGUUUUGCUGUUCCCGUACUGUGUGAUGAAGAUGAGCAGCUCUCAGACAGCUUUCCUGUCAUUGCUGGCAAGAAGGUCUUCUCAGACCCACAGCUGCCCAUGGACUGAAAUUCCCCUCUCCACCAGAACCAGAGCCUACAUUCAAGUAUCACCACAUAAAGUUCAUGUCACUCUUUAAAUCUCUGUUUCUUAUGUCCUAGUACAAACUGUAUUUUCUCUAUCCAAGGAGUUCCCAGGCAAUCUUUCUGGUUCUUUGUGCUCUCUAUAUUAUUGACCUAUGAGUCUUUACUUUUACUGUCUCUUGUUCUGUGUGGUGCUUCAGCCUUUUACUUCUGCGCCGUUUACCUGACCCAGCCCUUGACUAAGCCCGACCUUGCAUUGACAGUGCUGGCAGCCUCUCCUUCUCCUCCACCUGCAGACAAUAUAAUAUUCUCUUUACCUUCCCAAAUAACGAUGGGGAAAAAAACCCAACCAAAAUAUAUGGAUAUAUGGAGCCACACCCUUAUGCUCUCUUUCACUUUUACCAUACUUAUGCUAAUAAAAUUAAGACUCUGUUCUUUGAUAGAAAAUUGUUAUAGAUGUUUUAUAUAGGUUAUAAUGUUAUGUAUGUUUUUGUAAUUGCUAAUACAACAGGGCGUCUUAGUAUGUGCGGUGAUGAUGUGCAUUUCAAAUUAAACCAGGAUGAUCUAAUCAAGAUAACCAAGCAGUAGAGUUGUGGUGUGCUAAGGAUUCAGUGCUUAAGCUAAUUCUCGUUUGCUUGUCUGUGGGUGAAUGGUAAGUAGUCAGUUCUUGGUCCUUUUUAGCAAGAUUUGUGAUAAGAAUCCUUGUUAAAAUAAUUGUUUUUAAAAGUAAUAAAGGGAAUACUGUUCAAUAUCAAGUCUUUGAAAAAUAGACAAGCUUAUAAGAAACUGGCUGUGAUUGGAAAUGAGGAAAAAAUAUAUU